AUUGAACGCUGGCGGCAGGCUUAACACAUGCAAGUCGAGCGGAGCGAGGGUGCUUGCACCUUAGCUUAGCGGCGGACGGGUGGGUAAUGCUUAGGAAUCUGCCUAUUAGUGGGGGACAACAUUCCGAAAGGGAUGCUAAUACCGCAUACGCCCUACGGGGGAAAGCAGGGGAUCUUCGGACCUUGCGCUAAUAGAUGAGCCUAAGUCGGAUUAGCUAGUUGGUGGGGUAAAGGCCUACCAAGGCGACGAUCUGUAGCGGGUCUGAGAGGAUGAUCCGCCACACUGGGACUGAGACACGGCCCAGACUCCUACGGGAGGCAGCAGUGGGGAAUAUUGGGCAAUGGGCGGAAGCCUGAUCUAGCCAUGCCGCGUGUGUGAAGAAGGCCUUUUGGUUGUAAAGCACUUUAAGCGAGGAGGAGGCUACUAGUAUUAAUACUACUGGAUAGUGGACGUUACUCGCAGAAUAAGCACCGGCUAACUCUGUGCCAGCCGCCGCAGUAAAAC
rnacentral:rRNA from 1 species